UACGAGAGGCCCAAACGUUAUUCGGAUUUACUGGGCUUAAAGAGUUCGUAGGCCGCGCGGAAAGUAGGGUGUGAAAGCCCUCGGCUCAACCGAGGAACUGCGCUCUAAACUACCGUGCUUGAGGAACCUAGAGGUGAGCAGAACUGAUGGUGGAGCGGUGGAAUGCGUUGAUAUCAUCAGGAAUACCGGAGGCGAAGGCGGCUCACUGGGGGUUUUCUGACGCUGAGGAACGAAAGCCAGGGGAGCAAACGGG
rnacentral:rRNA from 1 species